rnacentral:rRNA from 1 species
AGGACGAACGCUGGCGGCGUGCCUAAUACAUGCAAGUUGAACGCAACAAAGACACCAGAGCUUGCUCUACCGUUUUUGUUGAGUAGCGAACGGGUGAGUAACGCGUGGGUAACCUGCCUUAUAGCGGGGAUAACUAUUGGAAACGAUAGCUAAUACCGCAUAACAAUAGAGAUUGCAUAAUCUUUAUUUGAAAGUGCCAACUGGUACACUAUGAGAUGGACCCGCGUUGUAUUAGCUAGUUGGUAGUGUAAUGGACUAUCAAGGCGAUGAUACAUAGCCGACCUGAGAGGGUGAUCGGCCACAUUGGGACUGAGACACGGCCCAAACUCCUACGGGAGGCAGCAGUAGGGAAUCUUCGGCAAUGGACGAAAGUCUGACCGAGCAACGCCGCGUGAGUGAAGAAGGUUUUCGGAUCGUAAAACUCUGUUGUUAGAGAAGAAUGUUGAUUAGAGUGGAAAAUUAAUCAAGUGACGGUAUCUAACCAGAAAGGGACGGCUAACUACGUG